rnacentral:rRNA from 1 species
AAAGCGCGUGUAGGCGGGCCGCCACGUCGGCUGCUGAAAUCCCCCGGCUCAACCGGGGAACGGGCACCGAUACGAGCGGCCUCGAGGGGGGUAGGGGGACCUGGAACUUCCGGUGGAGCGGUGAAAUGCGUUGAGAUCGGAAGGAACGCCCGUGGCGAAAGCGAGGUCCUGGACCCUUUCUGACGCUGAGACGCGAAAGCCAGGGGAGCGAACGGGAUUAGAUACCCAGU